GGAGGCUUCUAGGGCUGGAGCCCCGAGGAUAUGGCAGGAUAUGGCGUUUGUGACUGAGCUGGGGAGUCCCAGGGUGGACCGAUGUGUGGUGCCCACGAGUUCCCCUCCCCUCCGUCCACCAUAUCCAGAUCUCAAGAGGCUCUCACCCCUCCAGCCUGGCACCCGGUGUCUAACCAUCCAGUUUCACAUUCUCCUUGGCUGGGGACUUCCAGUAUGAAGGCAGGUCAGUGGAUCCUAUUGGUAGACGUUUAGGGGGCAAAUUUAAUCCCAGCUGGGAAAGGGUGAUGGCGUCCUUGGCCCGACAGGCCCGGCAGAGAAUUCAAUGAGUAGUCUUGUCUAUGCACCCCACCCUGAGAUUAGAGAGGAAAGGAUCAGGCCAGAUGGCUCAGCUGGUGGUGUGCUUGCCUUACAAGCCUGACAACCUGAGUUAGAGCCCCAGCAAAGGUGGAGGAGAGAACCGAUGUUCCAAAGCUGCCCGCGGACCCUCCACGUGCUCGCUGUGUCCCUGUGGCUGUCAGAAGAGGGCAUCAGAGCCCCGGGAACAGGAGUUCCAGGUGGCUGUGAACCACUGUGUGGACACUGAGAAUUAAACCUGGGCUCUCUGCAAGAGCAGCCAGAGCAAGCAAAAAAUAGUAAAGGCAAGUUCGCUACCAGAGUCCCCUGGCUUUACAUGUCGGUAACACAACUCACUGAGGUGUGGUUAGUGUCAGCCAGAAGACAACCUCAAAUGCAUCCACAAUGAAGAAUUUGGUGUAUGCUUAGCCAGAGUCCAGUCCGAGGAGCUACUUCUCUUCCAUAAUUCACGGCUCAGGGAACAUAACGUUCUGCUCUCUGUGAUGGUCGGCUUUGUCAACUUGCCACAGCCUAGGAUCACUGGAGAAGAGCGUCUCAGUGACAGAUCGCUCAGGUUGGCCUGUGGUUGAGGUGGGGAGACCCAUCCUGCUGUGGUUGACAUUGCUGUGUUUGGGGCUUGGCCUGGGGAAGCAGAGAGAGAGAGAGAGAGAGAGAGAGAGAGAGAGAGAGAGAGAGAGAGAGAGAGAGAGAGAGAGAGAGAGAGAGAGAGAGAGAGAGAGAGAGAGAGAGCUGAGCAGUGAGCGUGUGUGCAUUCGUUUCUCUCUGCUGUUGACCGGGACUGGGAUGCGACCAGCUGCUUCGGUUCCUGCUGCGGAGGCUUUCCCACAAGAGUGGGCUAUAACAAUUCGGAAUGGUAAAUUCAAAUAGUGAGUUCGGGAUAGUCAGCCUAACGAGCCCCUCCUCUGCCCAGCAGCUCUUUAAAUUGUGGUAUUUUAUCACAGCAACAGAAGUGGAACCAGAGCACCCCCCCCCUUCUGAAGACCAUGGUCUCUGCUUCUUUAGAGAUUUUAGUCACCAAGGACUAAAGGAUGGGUUCCAUCGGGGUACCCCACAAAAAAACCACUGGUUUGGAAGAUGAGACUCACAUCCGGCAAUUGCACAUUCCUUACUCCGUAUGCAUGGUUGAACAGACAGACAGACACAGAGAGAGUGGGGGAAUGAAUAGCUCUGAGAUGAGUUCUGGUUGUCAUAGUAACCAAUUCUUCCACAUGAAAACCCAGAAGUCUGUCUCUGGACCCUCUAAAACUCCCUGAGCAUCUUCAACCUCCUCGGCCAGUUGUAAAAGUUAAUAGAGGGUGACAUCUGCUCAGCAGGAACGGCUCAGGCCUGCCUCGGCUCCCUCCCGAUGAAGUGUGAUGAUCCAUGACGGCAAACCUCAGAUUGUUCAAGUGGCGCGCUGAAGGCCAAGGUCGCGGAGUGAGGUGUGUGUGUGUGUGUGUGUGUUAGCAUGCUUCAAGGCAUGCAUUGCAGAAGCCAGCACCUCAGAAUUUAUCUGUAUCCUCUUUUCUUGAUCUCUCGUGCUCAAAUUUCUUGCUGGUGUUAACCCUUGAUUUCGGUUAUUUGUUUGGUUGUUUUUGGC